CUACGGGUUGCACCAGUGGGGAAUAUUGCACAAUGGAGGAAACUCUGAUGCAGCAACGCCGCGUGGAGGAUGACACUUUUCGGAGCGUAAACUCCUUUUAUAUAGGAAGAAGAUGACGGUACUAUAUGAAUAAGCGCCGGCUAACUCCGUGCCAGCAGCCGCGGUAAUACGGAGGGCGCAAGCGUUACUCGGAAUCACUGGGCGUAAAGAGCGUGUAGGCGGAUUAAAAAGUCAGAAGUGAAAUCCUAUAGCUUAACUAUAGAACUGCUUCUGAAACUCUUAAUCUAGAAUAUGGGAGAGGUAGGUGGAAUUUCUGGUGUAGGGGUAAAAUCCGUAGAGAUCAGAAGGAAUACCGAUUGCGAAGGCGAUCUACUAGAACAUUAUUGACGCUGAGACGCGAAAGCGUGGGAGCAAACAGGAUUAGAUACCCCUGUAGUC
rnacentral:rRNA from 1 species